GGUUGGAUGGCCGAGCGGUCUAAGGCGCCAGACUAAGGAUCAGUUUCAUCUUGAAACUUCACUUACAAACCUCGUUUGUAAUCUGGUCCUCCGGGGCGUGGGUUCGAAUCCCACUCCAAUCA